GGGAGGCUCAGUUAGCAGGAAGUUUGGAUUUGGGAGCCUGCUAGAGAUGGGGAGGACUAACAUUUGCAGUGUUAAUUGAAUGGAGGAAGAAGAAGAGGGGAAGGGCAGUGUUGGACCUGAGUUGCUCCUUUGGAUACGCAAGGACUGGGCUGGGGGAGGGAAAGGGGGGAGAGGCAGAGAGGAACCUGCUGCCGCUUGCCGGCUCUUUGUCUGCUCAGGGAACUUGAACAAAAGGAGAAACUCGGAUGAACUCUCCAUCUCUCUCCUCUUCUGGGUUAUCUAAUCUUCGGGAACUUUAUCCAGAGAGAAUUGCCCAACUUCCUCCAAGCUUUCUCAUUACUUACAAAACAAACGGCCCCACCGUGGCCUCAUAAGGAAUUCCCUCGAUUUCGUUUUCAGAGUUUAAAGAAGGGAGAAGGUAAAGUGUGAUUGUCAGAGAAGCAUGAUGGCUGCCAAAACAUCUUACAGGAAUAGGUGCCAUAUUGCAUUUGCUCUUCAAAUGGUGGAAUACGGCUGUGGAUACUUUAGUGGGGAUUAACAGAGUACAAACACUGAAUGACCAGAGACAUCAAACAUCAUCAUUUGGAUUUAUACAUCUAUUAAUAAACUGAUAAAACUGGUGAUAGGGCUCUUGAAGAAAUCAGAAAAUAUGGAAGGUACUGUUGAAAAUGGUCUGGAGGAGAUGGCUUUGUGACAAUGAUAUUCUACAAUUAAAAUAAGAUCUUACAGCAUUGUGGGAGUUGAUGAAUCUGGACAGUUGAACCUGACCUCAUUCUCUUUUCGUCGCUCAAACUGAGAGACAAGCAAAAACUAAGGU